UCGAUGCAGCCCAGCUUGCUAGAAGGAACUCGUCGAGAAUCUACAUUACUCCUACUCCUAGGGCAAUGGCGUGAAGCCGAAAGGUAAAGGUAAAUAUGUUGUAUUAUUGAUCGUGUGAUGAUUCUUUACAAUGGCCACGUCCCUUUAUAUUUAUAGGGCGGACGUUACAUAAUUGGCAUCUAACCACGCACAAGGCAAGUCACGUACACAAUCUUUUCUAAUAAAAAACUCUAUCUCUAACUAACCCAACUCUAUCUCUAAAAUAUUUUAUUCUAUGAAACAACCUUCCGUACAUGCACAGAUCGGCCGCAUGCAUAAUUAUUCUGGAAGCCUCCCACGCAUGGCAUGCAAAGUGCACCAGAAUCCAUGUUGUAUAUUCUAAUCAUUUUUAUCCAUACGUGCUGACCUUUCCUUUAUAUCAUCCUUGCCUUUCCUUGCUGAUCAAUCCAAUGAAGCCGAUUUGGACUCCGUGCCCAUAUACACGCAUGCUAGCUUCUUAUUGUUGUACAUGACUCCAAUUAUCUUGUACUCCGAAUUUAUAGGAUUGGUCAAAAUCCGGUGUCAACACUGUCAACAACAUCUAAGGCCGAUAAGAUCUUCAACUUGCUGCUAUAGGAAGGACAGAUCAAUC
rnacentral:lncRNA from 1 species